rnacentral:rRNA from 1 species
GCUAGGAUGAACGCUAGCGGCAGGCUUAACACAUGCAAGUCGAGGGGCAUCGGGAGUAGCAAUACUUGCCGGCGACCGGCGCAAGGGUGCGUAACGCGUGAGCAACAUGCCCGUAUCAGGGGGAUAAUCCAUGGAAACGUGGUCUAAUACCCCAUAGUAAUUAUGUAAGGCAUCUUAUAUAAUUUAAAGCUUUGGUGGAUACGGAUUGGCUCGCGUGACAUUAGCUGGAUGGUAAGGUAACGGCUUACCAUGGCUACGAUGUCUAGGGGUUCUGAGAGGAAGGUCCCCCACACUGGAACUGAGACACGGUCCAGACUCCUACGGGAGGCAGCAGUGAGGAAUAUUGGACAAUGGAUGGAAAUCUGAUCCAGCCAUGCCGCGUGCCAGGAAGACGGCCCUAUGGGUUGUAAACUGCUUUUGUAUGGGAGCAAUAAGGGCUACGUGUAGUCCGAUGAGAGUACCAUACGAAUAAGCACCGGCUAACUCCGUGCCAGCCGCCGC